rnacentral:rRNA from 1 species
CGGUAAUACCAGCUCUCCGAGUGGUGUGGAUGUUUAUUGGGCCUAAAGCAUCCGUAGCUGGCCAAGCUAGUCCCCUGUUAAACCCACCGAAUUAAUCGUUGGAUUGCGGGGGAUACUGCUCGGCUAGGGGACGAGAGAGGCCGACGGUAUUCUCGGGGUAGGGGUGAAAUCCUAUAAUCCCGGGAAGACCACCAGUGGCGAAGGCUGUCGG